UACGUAGGGUCCGAGCGUUGUCCGGAAUUACUGGGCGUAAAGAGCUCGUAGGCGGUUUGUCGCGUCUGCUGUGAAAUCCCGAGGCUCAACCUCGGGCCUGCAGUGGGUACGGGCAGACUGGAGUCCGGAAGAGGCGAGUGGAAUUCCUGGUGUAGCGGUGGAAUGCGCAGAUAUCAGGAGGAACACCAAUAGCGAAGGCAGCUCGCUGGGACGGUAUUGACGCUAAGGCGCGAAAGCGUGGGGAGCAAACAGG
rnacentral:rRNA from 1 species